UACGUAGGGUGCAAGCGUUGUCCGGAAUUAUUGGGCGUAAAGAGCUCGUAGGCGGUUUGUCGCGUCUGCUGUGAAAACCCGAGGCUCAACCUCGGGCCUGCAGUGGGUACGGGCAGACUAGAGUGCGGUAGGGGAGAUUGGAAUUCCUGGUGUAGCGGUGGAAUGCGCAGAGAUCAGGAGGAACACCCGUAGCGAAGGCGGUUCUCUGGGCCUGUACUGACGCUGAGGAACGAAAGCGUGGGGAGCGAACAGG
rnacentral:rRNA from 1 species